UUUUUUUUCUUAUUUUUUUUAUUCAGAUACAUGUUAGCCCUUGAGUGCCAUCUCACCAGGUGGUAAGUAAUGAUGCAGUCUAAGAUGGAAACGGGCUAACCUGGAAGGGGUAUGGCCUCUUUUAUCAAACCCGUACCCCUUUGCAUUCUACUCGUAUACGGCCUCGUACCGGAACGCUAAAUCGCUUGGCGGCACGGCUUUGCCUGUAGGUUGGUUACUAGCCAC